UAAGACGAACCGUGCGAACGUUGUUCGGAAUCACUGGGCUUAAAGGGCGCGUAGGCGGGCCGCCGCGUCCGGGGUGAAAGCCUCCGGCUUAACCGGAGCAGGGCCUCGGGUACGGGCGGUCUAGAGGGGGGUAGGGGCGUGCGGAACACUGGGUGGAGCGGUGAAAUGCGUUGAUAUCCAGUGGAACUCCGGUGGCGAAGGCGGCACGCUGGAUCCCAUCUGACGCUGAGGCGCGAAAGCCAGGGGAGCGAACGGGAUUAGAUACCCCGGUAGUCCUGGCCCUAAACGUUGAGAACUAGGUAGUCGGCCGGACAUGGGCUGACUGCCGGAGCAAAAGUGCUAAGUUCUCCGCCUGGGGAGUAUGGUCGCAAGGCUG
rnacentral:rRNA from 1 species